rnacentral:rRNA from 1 species
GACGAACGCUGGCGGCGUGCUUAACACAUGCAAGUCGAACGGGCCUUGUCCCCUUUUUUCUUGGGGGAGGGGCUAGUGGCGAACGGGUGAGUAACACGCGAGUAACCUGUCCCUCAUUUCUGGAUAACCGCUUGAAAGGGUGGGCAAUACGGGGUGUUCUGGCCUGCUCGCAUGGGCGGGCUUGGCACGAUUCGAUCGGCUUUGGUUGGUUUGGCGGGGGAUGGGCUCGAGGCCUUACAGCUUGUUGGAGGGGUGACGGCCUGCCGAGGCUUUGACGGAAAGCGGGCCUGAGGAUGUGGACUGUCACUCUGAGACUGAGACGCGGCCCAUACUCCUACGGGGGGCAGCAGUGGAGAAUAGUGCACAAUGGGCGCAAGCCUGAUGCAGCGGCGCCGCGUGAGGAAUGGAGGCCUUCGGGUUGUGAACCUCUUUCGCCAGUGAAGAAGGUCCUGCUCUUUGUGGUGGGGUUGACGGGAGCUGGGUUAAUGAAGCGCCGGCUAACUACGUG